rnacentral:ncRNA from 2 species
AGUAAUACAGGAAAUGGUGUCUUCCUGACCCAACCGCUACAGAGCUGAUGACGCCUGCAAAUUG